GUGUGUUUAAAUGUGGGUUUUUCAAACACUGGUAAACCUGCUUAAAAAAUUGCAGAUUAACUCCUUUCCCAUUGCCAGUAGACGAGUAUGCCUGUCUGUUUUUUUCUUUUUCUGGUGU